UUCCGGUUGAUCCUGCCGGAGGCUACCGCUAUUGGAGUUCGAUUAAGCCAUGCGAGUAGAAAGAAUUUAGAUUCUUUGCGUACCGCUCAGUAACACGUGGGUAACCUGCCCUAUGCUGGGGAAUAACCUCGGGAAACUGAGAGUAAUGCCCCAUAGCCCACUACGCCUGGAACGGUGAGUGGGUCAAAGCUUCGGCGGCAUAGGAUGGGCCUGCGCCAUAUCAGGUUGUAGGGGGUGUAAAGUACCCUCUAGCCAUCAACGCGUACGGGUGUUGGGAGACAUUGCCCGGAGAUGGAUUCUGAGACACGAAUCCAGACCCUACGGGGUGCAGCAGGCGCGAAAACUUGGCAAUGCGAGCAAUCGUGACCAGGGAACUCCAAGUGCUUAGGGUAAGACCUAAGCUUUUCUUGACUCUUCAAAGGUCUUGGAAUAAGGGGUGGGUAAGGACGGUGCCAGCCGCCGCGGUAAUACCGGCGCCUCAAGUGGUAGUCGCUUUUAUUGGGCCUAAAACGUCCGUAGCCGGUCUGGUGCAUUCGUGGGUAAAUCAACCCGCUCAACGGGUUGAAUUCUGCGAGCACGGCCAGACUUGGGACCGGGAGAGGUGUGGGGUACUCUCAGGGUAGGGGUAAAAUCCUGUCAUCCUGAGAGGACCACCUGUUGCGAAGGCGCCACACUAGAACGGAUCCGACGGUCAGGGACGAAACCUAGGGGCACGAACCGGAUUAGAUACCCGGGUAGUCCUAGGUGUAAACGCUGUGGACUUGAUGUUGGGGGCGCUCCGAGCGCUUUCAGUGUCGAAGCGAAGGUGAUAAGUCCACUGCCUGGGGAGUACGGUCGCAAGGCUGAAACUUAAAGGAAUUGGCGGGGGAGCACUGCAACCUGAGGAUUGUGCGGUUUAAUUGGAUUCAACGCCGGA
rnacentral:rRNA from 1 species